GAUGAACGCUGGCGGCGUGCCUAAUACAUGCAAGUCGAGCGAACAGAUGAGGCGCUUGCUCCUCUGACGUUAGCGGCGGACGGGUGAGUCACACGUGGAUAACCUACCUAUAAGACUGGGAUAACUUCGGGAAACCGGAUCUCAUACCGGAUAAUAUAUUGAACCGCAUGGUUCAAUAGUGAAAGACGGUUUUGCUGUCACUUAUAGAUGGUUCCGCGCCGUAUUAGCUAGUUGGUAAGGUAACGGCUUACCAAGGCAACGAUGCGUAGCCGACCUGAGAGGGUGAUCGGCCACACUGGAACUGAGACACGGUCCAGACUCCUACGGGAGGCAGCAGUAGGGAAUCUUGCGCAAUGGGCGAAAGCCUGACGGAGCAACGCCGCGUGAGUGAUGAAGGUCUUCGGAUCGUAAAGCUCUGUUAUUAGGGAAGAACAAAUGUGUAAGUAACUAUGCACGUCUUGACGGUACCUAAUCAGAAAGCCACGGCUAACUACGUG
rnacentral:rRNA from 1 species